GAUGAACGCUGGCGGCGUGCCUAAUACAUGCAAGUCGAGCGAACAGACGAGGAGCUUGCACCUCUGAUGUUAGCGGCGGACGGGUGAGUAACACGUGGAUAACCUACCUAUAAGACUGGGAUAACUUCGGGAAACCGGAGCUAAUACCGGAUAACAUGUUGAACCGCAUGGUUCAACAGUGAAAGACGGUCUUGCUGUCACUUAUAGAUGGAUCCGCGCCGCAUUAGCUAGUUGGUAAGGUAACGGCUUACCAAGGCAACGAUGCGUAGCCGACCUGAGAGGGUGAUCGGCCACACUGGAACUGAGACACGGUCCAGACUCCUACGGGAGGCAGCAGUAGGGAAUCUUCCGCAAUGGGCGAAAGCCUGACGGAGCAACGCCGCGUGAGUGAAGAAGGUCUUCGGAUCGUAAAACUCUGUUAUUAGGGAAGAACAAAUGUGUAAGUAACUAUGCACGUCUUGACGGUACCUAAUCAGAAAGCCACGGCUAACUACGUG
rnacentral:rRNA from 1 species